rnacentral:lncRNA from 1 species
CCGCCAAGCGCCGACGCAGCGCUGUCGGCGGCAGCCCUGACGACCCCGGCGCGCCGGCAGGGCCUGCCCGACCCGCGUGACUACGUGGCGCCCUUCUCCGCGUCUGAGGCGUCCCCGCCCCGAGCUGCGUUCGCCGAGCGCCAGGCGAUCGCCAGUCCGCGUCAGGACGACUACGGCCUGACCAUCCCGAAGAAGCAGGAGAAGCAGCGGCUCGAGUUUCAGGUGCACGGCCAGGAGGGGCCGCACAGCUACCGCUUCGGGUACGACACCGGCACCGGGUACAACCGCCAGUUCCGGUUUGAGGAGAGAGACGGGUACGGAAAUCUGAAGGGGCGAUACGGCUUCUACGAUAAGUCUGGCAAGCUGCAAGUUGUGAACUAUUCUGCCUCCCCGAAGGGAGGAUUUCAUGCGGAGGGCAAUUUCGGAAAGUUUCCUGAAGCCGGUCAUUAGAUAAGCUCUCUACAGAAACACCCGCGAACACGAGCCCCGGCUCGCCAGCGGCAGCCGUCAGUCGGCGGCGGCGCCGGAGCUCGGCCGUCACGCCCGCUCCGCUCGCCUGGACUAGACGGCCGCCCGGUCCACGAGCGCCAGCUGCGCACGUGACAUACUUCGGACGGCGCCGUACCCGACACCACCUCAGGGCGGGAUCGCCGCUGGCGCCGUCUAGUGGUGAGCUCUGGAGUCACAGAGUGCCCGGGUCGACGGCAGAUGUCGCCCGUGAUGGGCGUGGUGAAUCGAUAGUUUCGUGUUAAACCCAGGGGGUAAUUAGUUAUCUCACGUUGAUAUUGAUUUUCGCGAGAUAGGUCGCGCCCAUUACAACCUGUUACCGGGAGUUUCGUUGUGUGUGAAUGCGCUGUUGUCUGUUAAUGAGUGCUGCCUGAAAACUUGUUAAAAUACACCGAUGCCAAAUAUCAACCAA